UACGGGGGGGACAAGCGUUGUUCGGAAUUACUGGGCGUAAAGGGCUCGUAGGCGGCCAACUAAGUCGGAUGUGAAAUCCCCAGGCUUAACCUGGGAACUGCAUCCGAUACUGGAUGGCUUGAAUUCGGGAGAGGGAUGCAGAAUUCCAGGUGUAGCGGUGAAAUGCGUAGAUAUCUGGAGGAAUACCGGUGGCGAAGGCGGCAUCCUGGACCGACAUUGACGCUGAUGAGCGAAAGCUAGGGGAGCAAACGGG
rnacentral:rRNA from 1 species